GCCUGACAGGACUUAGCCCGGCUGUGAAACAUGUCCUGGCUGGUGGCACCCCACAAACGGCCACCAUUACGUUAGAAGAUAUCACAGACAUCGAUGUACGAGAAACACUUGGACCACUUCACGAAGUCUGUGAAAAAAAUGGCAACCUUACAUCCCUGUCCCUGGAGCAAAAGGAUGCCAUUAAUACGCUGGCCAUUGAAAUGGAUUAUCCAAUAUUGAAAGAGGCCAACCGCUCUUGGCUGCUGCACAAUAUACUCCAGGAUGUGGUUUUUGGACGGAUAAAAAAGCAGCUCAAGCAGCUCAAAGAAGGUCUGAAAGAGACCAAUGUUCUUAACUGGAUGGAAGCAAGACCUGAUGCUGUCAAAGAAGUGUUCCCAUCGCAGGCAGAGGCUACAUGUAGUCCAGAGGUUGUUCUAGAAUUAAUUCAGUGGCCCCAAGAAGUUGAGGGCCAGGAACAAAAUAGAAUAAAGGAGUUCCUAUUACAGUUCAUCCGCACAGUCUCCCAGGACAAGCUUAAAGAGCUACUUAAGUUCUGGGUCGGGUGGGAGAUCCCGAUGUGUGACAUGAAGGUGGAGGUGGUGGAUAACCCUUACCCAGGGGCAUCCACGUGCUUCCACACACUCCGCCUACCGUCUCACUAUGAGACCUAUGACGAAUUUAGUCAAAGCUUGGAAAUGUGCGUUGGCACCGUUGAGUUCGGGUUCGGGUUACUAUGAUGAGUCUGAGUGUAUUAG
rnacentral:lncRNA from 1 species